CAUUGAGCUGGUCUCAUGCUCAUCACUUCAGCGGCCGCUUCAGGUGUCCAUUGUGAUGUUCAGCUGGUAGGGUCUGGAGGUGAUGUGAGACAGCCUGGAGGAUCUCUUUGCCUUUCCUACAAAGCUUCUGGAUUCACUUUUAGCAGCUAUGGCAUGCAAUGGGUCCACCAGGCUCCAGGGAAGGGGCUGAAAUGGGUGGCAGUUAUUUGGUCUGAUGGAAGUAAAACAUACUAUGCAGACUCUGUGAAAGGCCGAUUCACCAUCUCCAGGGACAACAGCAACAGCAUGCUGCACCUGCAAAUGAAUUCUCUUAAAGCUGAGGACACUGCCAUGUAUUACUGUGCAAGUGACACAGUGAGAAAAAGGAGUAUUAGACCAGACAUAAACCUCCUCAUUCAGAUAGGCCUUAUGGCGAAUGACAACAACACUGAGCACAAGGAGACCAGUUACAAUAACAGAUGA